UGGAUAAUCAACAGCCUCGUCAGGAUCUGGAACUUCUAAACUGGUGCCAUGUGGAGCUUUAAUAGCUAUCAGUGUGUCAUUCUGAAGACAAGGUAAGCUCUUUAUAUCAUCUUCAGUUACAAAAAGCCAUCUUUUAUUAUUUUCAUCUCCACUCAGGUCCCUCAACCUUUCUUUCAUUUUUCUUAUCUGUUCAUCUAAUCUACUUUCUUCUAUCGUCAAAUUUUCUACUCCUGCCUGUAAACUCG
rnacentral:misc_RNA from 1 species